rnacentral:rRNA from 1 species
GGCGGACGGGUGAGUAAUGCCUGGGAAAUUGCCCUGAUGUGGGGGAUAACCAUUGGAAACGAUGGCUAAUACCGCAUAANGUCUACGGACCAAAGAGGGGGACCUUCGGGCCUCUCGCUUCAGGAUAUGCCCAGGUGGGAUUAGCUAGUUGGUGAGGUAAUGGCUCACCAAGGCGACGAUCCCUAGCUGGUCUGAGAGGAUGAUCAGCCACACUGGAACUGAGACACGGUCCAGACUCCUACGGGAGGCAGCANUGGGGAAUAUUGCACAAUGGGCGCAAGCCUGAUGCAGCCAUGCCGCGUGUAUGAAGAAGGCCUUCGGGUUGUAAAGUACUUUCAGUCGUGAGGAAGGNGUUGNANUUAAUAGCUUCNUCGNUNGACGNUAGCGACAGAAGAAGCACCGGCUAACUCCGUGCCAGCAGCCGCGGUAAUACGGAGGGUGCGAGCGNUAAUCGGAAUUACUGGGCGUAAAGCGCAUGCAGGUGGNUUGNUAAGUCANANGUGAAAGCCCGGGGCUCAACCUCGNAACCGCAUUUGAACUGGCAGGCUAGAGUACUGNANANGGGGGUANAAUUUCAGUGNAGNGGNGAAAUGCGNAGAGAUCU